rnacentral:tRNA from 1 species
UGCCCAGUUGUGUAAUGGUAGCACUCCAGAUUCUGGCUCUGUCAGUGAGGGUUCGAGUCCUUCCUGGGCAA